CAUGGCAUCCCCGUGGCCUCCCAUUGACUUCACGGGGAGGCUGCAGGUGUGAACAACAGCUGGCACCAGGAAGCACAGGUGGAAGUGUUCAGAGGACUUAGUGUCAUCAACAAAGGACUAGCUUAUCAUAGAAGAACUGGAGAUCACAACUCUGGAAUGCUAUCUGUGCACAAGUUUCAACCACAGUGGAACUUGAGUCACAUGAAAACAAAAGGUUUGGAUGAAGCCAAAGUAUAUAGAGGCAAGACAGCAGCAAGGAUCCAAUCUUUUGACCCCUAUCCCACCUGCUCACACUGCCCACCUCUUUUCCAUUUUCUUUUGAAAAGCCUCAGGUCUCUAAUGGUUCACACCUCCUUCCCCAGGCUCAGCCCCUCACCUUUCUGAAACACAAGGGUAGUGGGAGUGUAACUCUUCUCUCUCAAUCAAAUGUUUGGAAAUGUCAGUUUCGUGUAGUCCAUGCCAAAAAAUUCAUUACUGACAUUCACCAGAAUAGGCUUAUCUCGGGGCAUCUGGGUGGCUCAGUGGUUGAACAUCUGCCUUUGGCUCUGGGCAUGAUCCCAGGGUCUUGGGAUCAAGUCCCACAUCGGGCUCCCUUCAGGGAGCCUGCUUCUCCCUCUGCUGUGUC